UAUGGCUAUAUCACGUUGAAGGACCGGUUCCCGUACGAUCACCGUAGUUAAGCAGCGUCGAGUCUGGACAAUACCUAGAUGGGGGACCGCUUGGGAAUACCAGGCGCU